rnacentral:rRNA from 1 species
UACGGGGGGAGCAAGCGUUGUUCGGAUUUACUGGGCGUAAAGGGCGCGUAGGCGGUCAGCACAAGUCAAUUGUGAAAUCUCCGAGCUUAACUCGGAAAGGUCAACUGAAACUGUGCGACUAGAGUGCGGAAGGGGCAACUGGAAUUCUUGGUGUAGCGGUGAAAUGCGUAGAUAUCAAGAGGAACACCUGCGGCGAAGGCGGGUUGCUGGGCCGACACUGACACUGAGAGACGAAAGCUAGGGGAGCGAAUGGG